CCUACGGGAGGCAACAGUGAGGAAUAUUGGUCAAUGGGCGCAAGCCUGAACCAGCCAAGUAGCGUGAAGGAUGACUGCCCUACGGGUUGUAAACUUCUUUUAUAAAGGAAUAAAGUGAGGCACGUGUGCCUUUCUGUAUGUACUUUAUGAAUAAGGAUCGGCUAACUCCGUGCCAGCAGCCGCGGUAAUACGGGGGAUCCGAGCGUUAUCAGGUUUUAUUGGGUUUAAAGGGAGCGUAGAUGGGUUGUUAAGUCAGUUGUGAAAGUUUGCGGCUCAACAGUAAAAUUGCAAUUGAUACUGGCAGCCUUGAGUACAGUUGAGGUAGGCGGAAUUCGUGGUGUAGCGGUGAAAUGCUUAGAUAUCACGAAGAACUCCGAUUGCGAAGGCAGCUUACUAAACUGCCACUGACAUUGAUGCUCGAAAGUGUGGGUAUCAAACAGGAUUAGAUACCCGGGUAGUC
rnacentral:rRNA from 1 species